GGGCGGUUUCCCUUACAUUUGGGGACCGAAGAGUCUGGGCUUUUCCCACAAAUUCUCUGGGAACAGAAAUGCUGCAUUUUUCGUUUCAGGAUAAUGAAUUCAAUAUCUAAAAACCUACAGAAGAAAUGAGGAGUUAUCCUUCUUGUCCUGGAGGGCAAAUAAAUGAGACAUUUUCAAGAGAUGCCGUGAGCAGAAGCCAUCUGUUUGAAAGUGCUCGGAUCAUAGAAGCUGAAACGUUCCUUCCUGCCCUGGGCCAAUGGUCACCUAGACCAGCGUUUUCAAUGUCCUCAGCGAGCAGUACAGGUAGCUGACAAGUUACGACGGUGGCCUGUCGCAGUGGACCGAUGUUUUUGUCCCCUCCACAUUCAGAGGUCAGAAACUUAAUCCCAGUGGGAUGGGAUUUGGAGGUGGAGCCUUGGAAGGUAAUCAGGUCUUGAGGAGGGAGCCUCGGUGAUUGGGAUUAGUGCCCUUAUAAGAAGAAGCCCGAGAGCAGCGAGCUCUUUUCCUGCCAUGUGAAAACACAGCAGGAUGACCUCAGUAAACCAGAAGGGAUGUUUUUCACCCAGAACUCAACUGUGCUGCCUCCCUGGUCAGACUUCCCAGCCUCCAGAACUGUGAGAAAUAAACAUUUGUUUUUUUAAACCA
rnacentral:lncRNA from 1 species